rnacentral:rRNA from 1 species
AUUGAACGCUGGCGGCGGGCCUAAUACAUGCGAGUCGAGCGGAUGGAUGGGGAUUGUUCCUGGUUUCCGUGGCCGACGGAUGGGUGAUGAACAGGUAUCUGACUGACAGUGGGGGCUGACGUAAGGCAGCGAGACCUGAUCCAGCAUCGGUUAUGAGGGAGAACGUGAUGGUUCUAAAGUCCUAGCUGGUUUAGCUGUCACUUAGACAGGUUCCCUCGCCGGAUUAGCUAGGUGGUACGGUAACGGCUUACCAAGGCAACGAUACGUAGCUGAUCUGAGAGGGUGAUCGGCCACACUGGAACUGAGACACGGUCCAGACUCCUACGGGAGGCAGCAGUAGGGAAUAUUCCGCAAUGGGCGAAAGCCUGACGGAGCAACGCCGCGUGAGUGAUGAAGGUCUUCGGAUCGUAAAACUCUGUUAGUAGGGAAGAACAAAAGUGUAAGUAACUGUGCACGUCUUGACGGUACCUAAAGAGAAAGCCACGGCUAACUACGUG